GCCGGGUGUGGUGGCUCACACCUGUAAUCCUAGCACUUUGGGAGGCCGAGGUGGGUGGAUCACCUGAGGUCAGGAGUUCAAGACCAGCCUGGCCAACAUGGUGAAACCCCAUCUUUA
rnacentral:sRNA from 1 species